rnacentral:rRNA from 1 species
AGUAACCUGCCUUGGAGUGGGGAAUAACAGUUGGAAACAGCUGCUAAUACCGCAUAAUAUGUCUGUGUCGCAUGGCACUGGACAUCAAAGAUUUAUCGCUCUGAGAUGGACUCGCGUCUGAUUAGCUGGUUGGCGGGGUAACGGCCCACCAAGGCGACGAUCAGUAGCCGGACUGAGAGGUUGGCCGGCCACAUUGGGACUGAGACACGGCCCAGACUCCUACGGAAGGCAGCAG